AGAUAGGGACCGUUUGCUCGGUGAAGUUGAAAAUCUUUCUGCUGGUGAUGGACAACCACAAAAGUUUCAAGAUGUUCAUACCCAGAAGUUAAAGGCACUUGAGGGACAGAUUUUGGAUCUUAAGAAGAAACAAUAGAGCCAGGUUCAACUUUUGAAGCAAAAACAAAAAAGUGAUGAAGCAGCAAAGCGGCUGCAAGAUGAAAUCCAGUCUAUAAAGGCACAGAAGGUUCAACUGCAACAAAGGAUAAAACAAGAAGCAGAACAAUUUCGGUAGUGGAAAGCCUCUC